UGGGGAAUUUUGGACAAUGGGCGAAAGCCUGAUCCGGCAAUGCCGCGUGUGUGAAGAAGGCCUUCGGGUUGUAAAGCACUUUUGUCCGGAAAGAAAUCCUUGGCUCUAAUACAGUCGGGGGAUGACGGUACCGGAAGAAUAAGCACCGGCUAACUACGUGCCAGCAGCCGCGGUAAUACGUAGGGUGCAAGCGUUAAUCGGAAUUACUGGGCGUAAAGCGUGCGCAGGCGGUUUGCUAAGACCGAUGUGAAAUCCCCGGGCUCAACCUGGGAACUGCAUUGGUGACUGGCAGGCUAGAGUAUGGCAGAGGGGGGUAGAAUUCCACGUGUAGCAGUGAAAUGCGUAGAGAUGUGGAGGAAUACCGAUGGCGAAGGCAGCCCCCUGGGCCAAAUACUGACGCUCAUGCACGAAAGCGUGGGGGAGCAAACAGGAUUNGAUACCCUGGUAGUCCACGCCCUAAACGAUGUCAACUAGUUGUUGGGGAUUCAUUUCCUUAGUAACGUAGCUAACGCGUGAAGUUGACCGCCUGGGGAGUACGGUCGCAAGAUU
rnacentral:rRNA from 1 species